rnacentral:rRNA from 1 species
GUGGAUUAGAUACCCUAGUAGUCCACGCCGUAAACGUUGGGCACUAGGUGUGGGCCUCAACCAACGAGGUCCGUGCCGUCGCUAACGCAUUAAGUGCCCCGCCUGGGGAGUACGGCCGCAAGGCUAAAACUCAAAGGAAUUGACGGGGGCCCGCACAAGCAGCGGAGCGUGUUGCUUAAUUCGAUGCAACGCGAAGAACCUUACCUGGGCUUGACAUGUAGGGAAAAGCCGUAGAGAUACGGUGUCCUUCGGGGCCUUACACAGGUGGUGCACGGCCGUCGACAACU